rnacentral:rRNA from 1 species
AUGUGUGAUGCAACUAAGGAACAAUACACUAGGAUAUUUGACUAACAAGAAGAGUUGCUUAGGAGCAAUCCGGGUAGCACUGUUGUGGUUAAGCUUGAUCCAUCUUGUGCAAUUCCAACCUUUCAAAGAAUUUAUGUGUGUUUGAAUGCUUUAAAGCAAGGUUUCAUGUCAGGCUGUAGAAAAGUCAUUGGUUUGGAUGGGUGCUUCUUCAAAGGAGCAACAAAUGGAGAGUUGUUAUGUGCUUUGGGAAGAGAUGCAAAUAGCCAAAUGUAUCCAAUUGCUUGGGCCGUGGUUGAGAAAGAAAACAAUGAUUCUUGGGACUGGUUUUGCUCAUUACUCUUCAAAGAUGUCAAUGCAUAUGAUGGUGAAGGCUGGGUAAUAAUUCCAGACCAACAAAAAGGUAUCAUCAUAGUUGUACAGAAUUGGGCCCCUCAUGCAGAACAUAUAAAUUGUGCAAGACAUGUGUAUGCCAAUUGGAGAAAAGAAUUCAAAGUGAAAGAGUGGCAGAAACUUUUCUGGAAUUGUGCAAAGGCUUCUUCUGUGAGCCUUUUCAACUUGGCAAGGGCAAAGUUAGCAAGAGAGAUCGUCGAAGGUGCAAGGGCAGUAACCAGGUUAGAUCCCAAGCAUUGGUCAAGGGCAUGGUUCAGGUUAGGAUCUAAUUGUGACUCUGUUGAUAACAAUAUUUGUGAAAGUUAG